rnacentral:rRNA from 1 species
AUUGAACGCUGGCGGCGUGCCUAAUACAUGCAAGUCGAGCGAAGCGGGGACGGGUGAGUAACACGUGGAUAACCUCCUAUAAGACUGGGCUAACUUCGGGAAACCGGAGCUAAACCGGAUACUUAAAGCUGGAUCAGCGCUGCAUUAGCUAGUUGGUAAGGUAAAGGAUUACAAAGGCAACGAUGCAUAGCCGACCGGAGUGGGUGAGCGGCGACACUGGAACUGAGAAACGGUCCAGACUCCUACGGGAGGCAGCCGUAGGGAAUCUUCCGCAAUGGGCGAAAGCCUGACGGAGCAACGCCGCGUGAGUGAUGAAGGUCUUCGGAUCGUAAAACUCUGUUAUUAGGGAAGCGGUACCUAAUCAGAAAGCCCCGGCUAACUACGUGCCAGCAGCCGCGGUAAUUC